UAAAAGAGAGCAGUAAGUGUUAUUGUUGUUUGUUCCUUUGGGGAAGAAUUUAUUUAAAGUUCAGUUUUUCUGUGUGAGCCUGGAGAAUUCUCUUUAACUAUUGUGAAAAGAGACUUUUAUUGAAGUGCCCCUUUAGUUGACAUUAACAAUGGCUACCAAUCUCACCCAUUUAAUGCACGCAAGAACUCUGACCUAGGGCACAAAUAGCCAUUAAGAUGCCUGUGAAGGUCUAGAAAAUUAUUUCAGGAAUGAGAAUGGGAGUGGUGGUGGCAGUGGCAGUGGCGGUGCUGUGGUGGUAAUGCUGACAGUGCUGGUGGCAAUGGUAAUAUGGUAGUGGUAGUAACAUGGUGACAGCAGUUGUAGAGGUAAUGGUAUUAGUGGUUGUCUUGGGUGGUGAUAGUAAGAGUGGUGGUGGUGGUGGUGGCAGCAAUGGUAUUUGUGGUUGUUUGUAGUGGUGACGGCAAUGGUGGUGGCAGCAAUGGUAUGUGUGGUUGUUUGAAGUGGUGACAGCAAUGGUGGUGGCAGCAAUGGUCACAGAACUCUUUCUGUUUAGUAUGUUAGAGGCUCAGCACAAGACUAAGAUGGGAGGCUUUUGAACAAGCCCCUGGCAACUCUUCUCCACGGAUAUCCAAGAGAAACUGAAUAAUCACUUAAUACUAAGAAAAAGUCUUCCAUUUAUACAGAGGUAAUAUGGAGCCCAGAAAUGUGGCUCAGGUCCUUUAGAAUCAUCUCUGCCUGAAUGCCACUUGGCACCUGCCCUCCCCUGAGCCCUCAAACCACAUGUAUCACACUCUCAUUCACCCCUUUCCUUUUUUGUGUAUUUAAACCAAAUGUCGUUUCCUCUGAGAAACCUCCUUGAUAGCAACCCCACUGUAGUUCUCAGGGCUUCCCACUCAUCAAGUCUUUAUCAUAGUUCUAGACUGCCUGCUUAUCCGUCUCUCCAGCAAAUAAAAAAGAUCCUUGAAGACAGGCAAAAACCAUGCUUUUUCAUCCCUGUACUCCCAACAUCUAGCACAGGGAGUGAAAUCAAUGUUCGUUGAACACCUGUGUGAGAGGAAGAUUGACUUGUUCCUGUAAGACACCAGAUUUCUUUGAAGGACUGGAUCAUGCCUUUUUCUUCUUAGGUUUCCCUGUCUGUCUUCCAGUGUUUUCUACAUAGUAAGUUCUUCGUAAUAGUGAAGGGAAAAUAAAUUCAAAAGAUAGAUUUAACAUUCAUUUGAUGCACAAAGCAACACUGAAAUAGGUAGAGAUAUUAAUCUCCCAAGGUCCCAAGGUCUGUAACCUUCCUGAAACUCCAUGGCGUUUCGAUGCUGGUGAGCCCUAACUGUGUGAGAAGGGUGCUGACGUCCAAAGAUGCCUCCCUUCAGCCACACGCCGUUUCAGGAGCGGAGCUCAGGUCAAGCCCAGGCCUUGUUAGGCCUUUUCUGCUUCUCCCUUCACAAAAUCAUGUUAACUUAUACCUCAUUCCUUUCUCUUCUUAUGGGUCUUUUUUCAUAUGCAGUAUAAAGUAUUUCUAGAACAAUUCUCCUCCAGCAAGACGUAGAAUUAAUAGUAGUUACACUAUUUCUGUUUUUAGGACCCACCUCCUCUCCAGUUAAAGCAGGGGCAGUCACCUUAGAAAACAACACCUGCAAAAAUCUAGAAAGAAAUGAUUUGGUCCAGAUGGUAAUGUUUGGCAGUUGCCAAAAGAGUCCUAUGGCCAGAGCUUUAGGCCAAGUCAAUUCCAUCACACCUUUGCUUGGUGACAGGCUGAAAACAAGCAUGAUCAAUCCCUAGAGUCAUUCUGGUUUCUCUGAUGCAGAUUUUCACCCAUUAGGGACCUAGUUCUGGAACCAGAGAUCAAAACAACGGAUCUUUAUUAUCCUUCACUGUUCCCUCUAACACUGCUUGCUCAAAGAAAAGGAGGUGAAUGAUUUCCAACUCGGGUUCAGCUCUCCUGAGAAGCUUGUGGUUUCAUGAGUCUGAAAAAAGAACAGUGAUUCCCAAGACAACUUUGUCUAAUGGUGUUCAUAGGAUCCCCUGUCCCCAAAGCAGAGCUCUAAGAGCCAUUCCUUCCAGGAGAACCGUUCAACCAGCAGCCAAGAGUCAACCUUGAUAAAUACGAUUUUAAUAAGUGCUAGAAAAUCAGGAAAUGCAGGCCCCUGGCUCUUGUGAGUUUUAUCAUAGUGAGUUCCCUACAGAGAGCUGGAGAAGAGCCAGGAAUGUGUCGUCCUCUCCGUCAGAGCCCUGCAAAGCGUCGGUGUGGAAGGGACGUUCUCCCGUCAGGUACUACUGUAUAUCAAAGGUAUCCCCCUCUUAGAGAAAAAGAUGAAAUUAAUUCAAAAACAAAGAGAAGAGUCUGCAGCAACACUGGCAGAUGAUAAGGUUUAUAAGCCAGCCCAAAGGUACUCGAAAUCUACCAUAAGGGAAACAUCUGACAAAGAAAAAUGUGUGCUGGCAACUUGUUUGAUUGUAAUUUCAGUGAAAAAUUGAAACCAUACUUCCAUGGGAUUAAGCUUCCCUCACUCACCAGAAAGAGGUCCCUGUUAACAAGUAUGGAGCACGUUAGCAUCCCCCGCAUUCUCCUUCGGGCUGCUUGCCCAUAAGUUUACAUUGGGAGUUUGAGACAGGAGAAACCUCCUCAAUGUGGCCAGAGGUGGUAGAGUUGGUUUUUAAUACGUUGCGGACUAAAGUGGUUGCAAUGGCAGCAAAAGUAAACAUAUGCCUUGCGGAUGCAAUAUUAAUUAGGGGAAUAAAUAAGUCCAAAGGGGUUCCCUUCAGAGAGAUAAUAAGACUCUCUUGAAGGUAUGCAAAAGAGGCCCAUAGUUUACCUGUCAUGGUGUAACGAUGCCGAAUAGGGGGAAGACACUUUAAUUUUCCCAGUGGGUGUGUAUCUUUAUUUUUCUCAUUCACAAGAGAGUAGGCUAGGGAAAAUGGUCAUGCUUAUGGUUUGCAAAAGAACAAAUGUUUGGUAAGAAAAAGCAACGCACUAGAACUGGAGAGGUCCUUCACAGUAUGUGUUUGCAAAGAAUACCAGAACUGCUUACAGCAUGUAAAGAUGCCACAGAGUCAGUCAGAGCAGUGAUAAUGCGUUUAAAAACGAAUGAGCUCAAGAGCAGUAUACGGCGAAUACGGCUAACAGUUUAGCAAAUGCAAGGGCUGGAAGAAGGAAUUAUUUUGUCCACAUUUUCAUUUAUUUAUUUUCACCAGGACUGUUGCCUUUCCUGCAUUACAGUCCCCAUCUGCCUCUGUCACAGUGCUCUGACCAUCCAGAGAAAGAUGGAUAUUGACCUCCUGGGACUAGGUGUUUCACAAAAAAAAUCAAUCCUUGGGACAGAGAAAGGAUUCUCUACUCUGAUGAAGUUAUUUCACUAUAUAAAGUACUGAAUUAUUUCGGAAUGUUUGUAAGAGAAACACACAUCUGGUGAGAGGAAGGAGAAUGCAUCUGAAGUUUAAUCCCUUAUGAAAGGGCCUCAGCCAAAGAAUCUUCUAUAGAGCGUGUGAUGAAAUACACUUUCCCUAGGUAGCUCUAAUUAUGCAGAAAAAUGUCUAAUGCUGCCUUGCCAUGUCUACAUUUUAUGUAAGUUCCCAAGGGCAGGAGCCAUGUCUUUUAAACUUUGACUCUAUUACCUGGUAUAAGAUCGAUGCUUAGUAGAGUUAAAUAAAAUACCCGUUAUAGAAACUCUGCUUUCAUACAGUUCAAGAGAAAGCAUGUAAAAAUAAGAAGCCAAGAAAAGGUCAGUAAGCUUGCCAUAAUCAAAGAAAAAGCAGCUAGGUUUUAGAUAUUACAUCAAGCCUAAUUCCAGCUCCACGAAGGUCAAUCCAGACCUGCUUGCCUUAUUCAUUUCUUCCAUCAGGUGGUCUGAUGGCUUGAAAUUAUCACUUUAUUUCCAAAGAGGCUAAGUUACUAUGAGUGUGGGCACUAGGACAACUCACGCCAAUAAUUCCAACAGCUUUCUGCCCGCACAGCACCUCGUCCGGCCAUAGUGGAAACGAGAAAUAAUUAAUCACAUACCUCUGAAUGUACAAAGGUAAAAGUUAUGCAGGGCCAAAGAUCCUGUAUGUGUCUGUCUAUCUCAUCCGACUUUAUUUAGAAACUAUUCUUCAAAGAAGGAGGGGCUAUUCUUCCACAUCUUUAUUGGUCCCAGAAUGCAGGGCACAGGCCUUGGUAGGAGGCAGUUUCUAUUAUAAAUGGCCAAAGGGAGAGUCUCUUGCCUCUGUGAAGAGCCAUGACAGCUCUACUAGCUUACGAUGUUGCCUGGGGGCAAACAGACGAGUGAAAACUCUGUUACCUUAGAUAACUGAAACCAAGGAAAAGGGCUAUUUUACAAAAGUUCUGUUUUUCCAAUGUACUAAAGAGCAAACUGAAGAAAUGGAAAAAGUCAGAAACACACAGAAUACAUGGUCUCAAAAUGUGAGUCCUGGAUCAGCAUCAUCACCAUCAUCAGGGAACCAGCGCCAAACGCAAAUUCUUGGGCCUCUUCCCGACCUGCCGAAUUAGAAGCUCUGGGCUGCAGCCGCUUUGUCACAUCCUCUAGAUGGUUCUGAAACAUGCUAAAAUUUGAGACCCACUGCUGGAGACUAAGGAUGAGUGCAGAGAAGGGGACCUGGGGAACAAAAUGCCUGCCAGAUGGUGAGGGUUUGAGAAAACAGCAGUAGCAAAAAGGUGGAACAAUAUAGAGGACAGCUGCAGACAGUGGGCUGACUCAUAAAAAACACUUUAAAACUGUAAUCAAAGGCACAUCCAGCCUGAUCUACGAGACUUCUCUCACAGCAUCCAGUACCUUUUGAACUUCUGCUUCAGUACUGAGUGAGACCCAAAGUUUUAGAAUUAGGAGGAAAAUGACAUUUUACUUAUUUAGGGACUAUAUCUAAAUAAAUAUCAAGUAUUAGAAACAAAAUAAAGAUCAAGUAAACCUGAAGGUCAGUUUGGGGAAGACUCAAGAUAUUUUUCUUAACAGAUUCUAGUUUAGUAUCAAUAAUCCUUCUCCAUAAGUGAAUAGCUUUAAACUAUAAGAUAGAGUUUUAGUUAGGGAGAGCUGUUCAGCAAUGGGAUGGUUGACACAGAUAAAGUACACAAUCUUUCUCUUGGAGAUCUUAAAUUGAUUCGUAUCUUCUGGGAUGGUUUACUAGCAAUCCAAUUAAAUGGCAAAGAGAUACAUUACUUUUAAAUUUAUCUUCUGAUCUCAGUCCAUGAGUUCAUAAAUAUAAUUUUCAUAAAAACGUUUAUUUCCCAGCCCAAUAUAAUUUGGGAAUAAACAGGUCUUUUCCUUCCAAAGAGAGCCCAAAAAGUAUUAGAUGGUUGCUGAGGGAACAAGCAUUUAAGAGACAGAAAAUAUAUUUUCAAGGAGUUUUAAUGUCUAAGUGCUUGAAUUAGAAGACUUAAGUCUUACUCCAUCUUUUUCUGGCUGUUUUCUUGAGAAAAGUCCCUUAACCUUUCAAAGACACAUUCCUUAUUUUUAAUAUGAAUAUAAUCAGUCUUUUCUCAAAAGGUUACGAGCUUAGAUGGGAUAAUGCAUAGCAAAGUCUUGAUAAAGUUUAGUUUGUGUGCUAUAUGAACAAAAGGUAUGACUUUUAAAAAUCUAGAACAUUCAUCUGCUUUAAAAUGUGUCCUUUCAGAGUCACUUAACAUAGGAAUCUUUGAAGUAUAUAUUGCCAAGAUACACAAUAUUCCCUGAGGAAUCUUUAAUUUUUUGCCAGUGAAUUAAAAUUUUUACUUUCUGUUUAAUAUAGUGGAAGCUUAGUUUCUUCUGAAUACCUUAGAAAAGUUUAAUUUUUUUUUUUUACAUAUUAAGUUUACUGGAAGUUAUCAUUCAUUAAGACUAGCCAAAAAUGACCCUGGUGAGUAUUGUUUGGGAUUGUGUUACUACAGGGAGCAAUUGUAGAGGGAAAUCCCCAGCCUUCCAUGUUCACUUACGAACUUAUAGCCCAAAAUAGAGAUGCUCAAAGAGCUGUUUUGCAAACUCUCUGUCCUUCCAAUAUGUCAAAAGGCCAGGAUGAUGUGGCCUCUGGGAAAAGAAGACAUUUCGGGAGCUGUAAACAGAACAGCAGCCUAACUGCUCAGGCGACCUGGUUCCAGGCUGAUCAUCACACACAGAUUUGCCAACAAGAGCGAAGGGCUGAAGAUGCAACACAGCUGAGAAACGAGUUGACGUGAUGAACUUUCGUGUGAUGUUCAGAAUACAAUGAAAUACAAGGAGACCUGAGAGAUUCAUUGAGAUCUAUUAAGCUUUUACCACUCUUUAGUCCCUAAAGACAAGAAUCUAGUUAUCUGAAAAAUGUGACAUACAAUCUGGUUCACUCAUUCUUCCAAUGCUAUUGCGACUUCUAGGAGGAACGCUGCUCCCUGCCCUGUUGUGCUGGUGGCAAUAUUUGAUGAAAUGUUCUAUUUAAGAGGGAUGUGCUGGGGGGAGGGUAAUUCUCCUCAAAUAGCCUAACAUUUCUAUGAAAUCCUGGCUUUGUAGUCUAUGCUGUGGAAUUUUACAGAGAAGAAGGAUUUUUUUACAUUGGGAGAAAAUCCAGAAUAAAGAGACUUGGGAAAUAGGAUUUGCUUCACUCCGCAGGGACAGCGGCAGAGCUUUCCACGUGCUGAGCGCUCUCUCUUAAGUGGUCACAUAUGGCUUGCAUCUGUUCAUCUCUUGAGCACCCUAUAUAGUUAGCAUUUCAUUGCUUAGUGAAUUGCCCAUUAGUUUUAAUUAUACAAGAAAAACACCUUUCCAAAAUGGCACCUUUUGUGUUGUGAGCCCUGGAUCCGUCACUAAGGCAGACCAUUCCGCGGCUGUUUCAUAUAAUGGGAACCUCCUGAGAAGAGUGCUAAUAAUCUGACCCCACUUACCUCAUUCAAUAAAUAUUCAUCGCACACAUAUUAGGCUAGAUGCUGGAUACUUCUUCUUAGUUCUCUCUCCAAUUCUCACUGUUCAUUGAACAUUCACUCUGCACUGAUAUUCCUUUGACUAUUAAUUGGAAAUUUUCAAAAAGAUCAUCAAUUUCUACUUAAAACACUACUAUUUAUUUAUGCCCCCUAAGUGGAAAUAACACAAGAUGAAGAGGAGGGAGCCUGGGUUCUAGUCACAGUUCUGCCACCAGCUGAUCUUAGCCAAGUCCCUCAACCUCCGUGGGCCUGGAGCUCUCCUGAGUGAAGUAAGCAGUUGGACUGGAAAACCACUAAGGUCCUGCCCGUUUAGGACUUGUGGGUUCUUCCAAGAACAGUGCAUUGUCAUGACGUAAUGGGAAAUCUCUGCCUCCAACGGCAAUUAGGCUCCUGACAAUUCCCACGCAAUAUUUUGAUUUCAGCAUUCACUGACCGAGAGGAGGCAUGGAUCACUUGGGGUGAGCACCACAGCCAUAGACUCAGGAAUUAUUUUAUCAUAAACUAUGACAACUACUUCCUCCAUGUCCGAUGUCAACUCAAUGUCUCACCUGAAGGUUAACUGUUCUGAGGUCUGACUGUCAGCUGCACACAGUCUGGUCGAACCUCUGAUGGCAGGCUCCAGCUGUCGCCAGAGAAGCCCGUUAAAAAAUGUCUGAAUCCUGGAGGUUGACUUUGGGGCUUUCCGAUCCAGAGGGAGGUAUCAAAUAUUAUGUGGAUCAGGCAGUAAAACCCUUCCCAGCAUAGUCAGGUUUCCACUGUAAUUGUGACGGUAUAAACUGGAUAGUAGCUGCCUCAGUGCUCUGUGCCUCCAUCUGGAAGCCUAGAAUGGUCCAAAAGGCCCAAGGGGAGCGAACUUUUGAGGCUCUCCCAACUGCAGAGCACACAGCUGCCCCACCCCUCGCAGGCUGCACACAGCUGCUCACUGCCUGCUUACCCUGCGCAGAACUUCUCCUGACGUAUACUAAGUCAGCUGCUCUCGGAUUGCGCGGCCAGAGAGAAACUGAGAGGGGGACAGAAAAGUGAGAGAGAGGGGAACAGGGUCAUCAUGUCCUGUGUCCCCAAGGGGUCAUCAUCUGGGUAAGUUUGAGAGUUCUUUCAGGACUCUCUACAGAUUCCCUGCAUCUCUCAGGAUGAGGGACGUGGUCCUCAUUAUGCUCAACAACAAUGGCUGCAGCAAGACGGAAAUCAGGUCUGUUCCUUGUUCAAGUCCCGGGAGAGGAAUUUAGUCCUAGUCUCCUCCUCGCCUCUCACAGGCCGUCCACCCAGGGCCCUUCCCAUGGCUCAGGCUCGCCCUCCCUCCUGAUUCAGAGUCUGCCUGAGUGCCUGUCCCUCUCCAUGUCUGGGUGUGCUUCUAUCUGUGUACUCUCCCUAUGGCUCCGUGUGUGUCAAGUGUGUCUCUGCUCUCUGCCUCUGAUUUCCUUUCAGUCUCUCUGGGUCUGUGACGAUGUGUGUUUCUGUGUUUCUAUUUCUCUCUCCCAGCCUCUUCCCCAAACCAUUCCUAAUCAAGUAGAAAAUAAAACAAAUUUAACGUUUCUGAAAACACAUCAACCACCGAUAUUUUUACCAAUUGCGCUCUUAAAAGUUACAGUGUCAAUACAAAUGAAUAUUGAAAAGGAAAAUCGAUGGAUGUGCUUUCUUCUUGGUGUCUUCCAUUAACGAAGGGGUCAGGGAAGAUCUGGGAAUUCUCUUCUCAGCUUGGGAACGUGUAGUUGGGAGGGCUCGGAUGAUGGCCAGCAGGGAUCCCCAAUUGGGCCUCAGCCCCUGGAACCCCUGAAGAUGACACUCAGCCCUGGGAGUGAUCGUGUGGGCUCAGCUGCAGCCCGCUCACCUCCCACGGAGCGCGCUCCUCCAGGGCUGGUGCUCAUCUCUGCUCUGGGACGCUUCCAGAGGGGGUUUUUACUAAGGCAGCAAAACGGACUUGUGGAGAUGGCGAGCUUUAGAAAUUAAAAGACCUAGAUUCAUAAUCCUCGCUCUGCCUCCUGCUCUGUGGCACUGAAGUUUUCACCUAAUUUGUCCUCUUUUUCUUUAUAUAGGAGUGGAGAGGACACUAACCUGCCUUAUGAGCAUUUCAAGAUUCUUGGGACAGAGAAACGACAAUGCAUCAUGUAUGGGUUAUUGCUUUUUGUGUUUGUUUAGUUUGGUUUGGUCUUUUUGUUUAUUAAUUCUGAGGUGCAGUAGCUCUCAACUGAAGCAAUUUCGUUUCCCAAGGGACAUUUGGCAAUGUCUGGAGACAAUUUUGGUUCUCACACUGGAGGGGCAUUACUGGAAUCAACUGGAUAGAAGCCAAGGAUGCUGCUAACAUCCUACGACGCACAGAGCGCCCUGCCACAGCAAAGAACCAUCUGUUCCAAGCAAGACCAACGGUGCCGAGGGUGAGAGACCCUGGUUGAGAAUGAUCACCCUUACAGAUUAGGCUUAUUAUUGUUUCAGCAUGCUAUUUUCCUUAUUUUUUUAACAUCCCUUUUCUAUAAAUGUACUUUACAUAUUUUAUGUCCUUGGCACACCUAUGAGGACAUUUCAUGCCCUAAGCAAGGGAAGCUGGCCACUGCCUAUCCUUUGGCCUUCCAGCCCCUUCAUGUCCGUCCCUUUGAUGAAGCCUUGGGCAGUAAAGAUAACACACCAGAUGAAGUCAUGCAAAGAUUCAGAAGCCCAAAUUCCUCCUCACAAUAUAGCAAUUACAGGCCCAGCAACAACAUAGCUAAGUUUAUUCAUUCCACCAUUUGAAAAUGAUUAAUUAAUUUGGGCAAGGCACUAAGAUAAGCACUGGGGAGACAGAUUUAAAAUAAAUCCAGAUAUGAUCUCUGCCCCCACGAAUUGACAGUUAAGUAGGAAAAACAGAAUGUAAACCAAAAAAAUCACACAAAUAAAUAUAUAACUACAAAUUAUAAUAAGCGCAAUAAACGACAAGAAAUAGACUCUAAGAAUGAAAAUAACUGAAGGACCCUUCUGGAAAAGGUGGGAAAGGGGUGAGAAGGGUCAAGGAAGCCUCUCUGACUGACAGCUGAGCUGUGACCUGAGGGAAGGCAGGAGUCAGCCAGGCUGGGAACCUUUGGAGGACAAGGAGGAGCAGGUGGCAGGGUCCUACGGUCAGAACAAGCUCGAGCCAUUUAAACACUUGAGAUUUUGGGAUAUCUUUGUCUCCUUGUUUUGCAUCAUCCAAAUUCUUUAUGAAAACCGCCAACUGCAAAUGGCUACAUUUUUCAUUUUUUUCAGACAAUCUCACAAAUUGAUAAGGAUUCACUCACUGCUAUUUUUCUCCUUGUUUGGAAAAUAUGUAAUCAAGUCUUUGCAGGUGUAAUCAAGUUAAGAAGAGGUCAUAUUCAAGGUGUUCCCUAAUCCAACAUGAGUGAUGUCCCUAUAAGAAGAGGAGGAGAAAGACAGACACGGGGAAAACACCAGGUGACAGCAGAGGCAGAGAACGGAGUGAUGCGUCUACAAGCCAAGGAGCGCCAAAGGUUGCCAGCAACACCAAAGGCUGGGAGAGCUGCACGGAACAGCUUCUCCCUAGAGCCUUCAGAGACAGCGUGACCCUGACGACAUCUUCAUUUCAGACUUCUAGCCCCUGAGCUGUGAGAGAACACAUUUCUGCUGUUUCAAGCCACUCGAGAGGCACUGUUAAGAUAGCCCUAAGAAACUAGAUCCCUCCCCCUUUUCCCUUUUGCAGGUCUUAUCUAUCCCUCCACCCUUCUUUUCCCUGCCCCACCCCCAACUCCCACCUCACCUCCUCAGUCCCUGCCAGGACCGGCUGCUGAAGGACACGCCAGUUCCCCUCCACGUGAACUUGGGGCACUUAGACCCCAUGUGUGGACAGCUACCAAAUAAUCAGACUUUUCAAAUGACCAGAUGGGCCUUUGCACAUUUCCAGUUCCAGAGGAAAAUGUGUAGAAGUGGAGAUGACGAAACAAUUUUCAAAGGCAAUACACCAAUUUUGUUAAACUUGCCUCUAGCACAGUAGUUCUCAUCCAGGGGUGACUUUGCCUACCCUCUGCCCCCAGCAGUGUGUAGAGACCUUUUGGUUGUCACAACUGCAGGACGCUGCUCCUGGCAUCUAGCGAGCAGAGCCCAGGGAUGCUGCUCAACAUCUGCAGGGCACAGGACAGCCUCACAACCGAGGAUUAUCUGGCCCCAAAUAUCAAAGGGCCAAUGUUGAGAGGCUCUGCUCUAGCACAUGUCCUAAAUAUGUUCAAUUCCUUGUCUAUUGAAAGGGGGAAUGUGUUUGACUGAGAAGUGAUGAGAAAUAAUCCACGAAGCAGCACGAAAAUACUUGUUUCAUUUUGUUCUAUUUCAGUGAAGUUCUUUAAGAAUCAAUGUUGUAUUCCAUAAAAAGUAAAAUUAUGUUUGUUUCCCUUUCAGCCAGUGCUACAUUGGCACUAUCGUGCAAAAUUCCACUUUCAUGUCAGCACACAUUUAGACUCUAGUCUGGAACUAAACUUGCAAACUUUUGGCACAAAGCAGUUUCCUUUUUGGUGCCCUGUUGUCAUGAUAUCUGCUUGCCUCUGAAGUGUAUAGCUCAGUCAUGUGUUUCAGUUCCUACGUCCUGUCUCUACUCUCUUUACCCUUCCCCAUUACUGGUUUUACCGAAUUUUGCAAGCUUGCGGACUUUUAAAAAAAUUAAUCUGCAAAAAUUCUAAAACAUUCUAAGGAAACCAUAACUAACAUAAAACACGUAGGUGUUUUUCUCCAGUCAUUCCAUAGGCUGAAACUGAGUCUAAAAGAAUCUACUUUUACUAAAUUUGAAUAAUUUAGGUUAACCCCUCUUCUUUCCAAACAGUAUUUCAGACCAUCUUGCCACACUGUCACUCUCAUCUUUCAAGGCAGAAACACUUGUUAUGCAAAUAUUAUUUUGCCAGAGAUUUCUUGAUAUAUGUGAAUUUCCACUUUUGUCCCUUUGUAAUCAUUUGUAUUUGAUCUUCCUAAAGGGUUAAAGCUAGUAGUGGGCAUUUUGGGUGACCAUACGAGUUCCACCUUAGAGGCAGGAAGACCCUGGCUUGUAAGUGUGAUUGAUGAGUUGGGAGAAAGUAAAAUGAUGAUGAGUUACUUA